GAAGGAAGGAAGGAAGGAAGGAAGGAAGGAAGGAAGGAAGGAAGGAAGGAAGGAAGAUGCACUCCAGGCAGGGUCGCUGUGUUCUGGGGUGCAGCAGUGCCCUGCCAGAGAGGAGAGGACACCUCUGAGGCCACCAGAGACAGACAGACAGACAGGGAAGGGACAAGGAGCCGCAGAGCAAAGAGACAAGCUGUCAGGCAGUUAACAAGGAGGUGAAAACUUCCAUGUGCUGUCCCUGGGAUCCAUGGUGUGCACAAACAGCUGGGAAUAAAGUGGGCUGCACUUGGAUCCUCCAAGGGCAUGCAGGUGUGCAGGAGAUACACCUCUCCCCACUUGUGUCCUUCUAAGAAGAAGAAAAUGGGCUAAAUCCAAGCAAAUCAUGGGGAAAUCUGACAAGAAGCUUUCAUUAAGUUCUUCAUGCUCCACAGGAUGAACAGUGGUGUCCUUGGCAGAAAAGAGCCAAAAAUGAAGUGGAGGCAGCAAACAAAGCAACAGCUCCUAAGACCUGUCCUCACUACCAUCAGAGACCACAUGCUCUGGGGCAGAUCCUCUGCCUGUCCUUAGCUCUGAGAUUAUGCUGAGAGUGUCUCCUUAGAUCUCCAGUGCUGGCAGACAAGCCCAGCCCACCUGAUGCAGCAGCAAAGUGUCCCCUCUCCAUCUGUGUCACUGCUGCACGAGCCAGCGCGGCGGCGUGGAACCCAAGGUGGCCUGACAGUAGUUUCCUCUGUCAGCAAAAUGCCAAGGAAAGGAAAAAAAUAAUAAUAAAAAGGAAAAAAAAUUAAGCAAAAAAAGCUGCAGGGGGAGCAAGCAUAGCAAAAAGCUGCAUAAUCAGCCGCAGUGGAAAGCAGGGAGGGUGUCUGUUUAUUCCCCUGAUUUACCCACUGCAUCUCAGAGUUUUCCGCUUUGCAACUCCCAUCCCAGUGCUCGGCAAGUAAAUAAAUACUCCCAGAAAUGAUCUGCAAGAAUGAGUCGCUGCCAAAUAUUCUUUUUGUCUGUGGGCUCUUCUCAGUAACCCCAGCAAAGCUGAAAUUGUCUUUAUUAAGAUAAUUGCUAUGCUGUAGACAAUUUAAUCUGUUGUCUGUAACAUGAAGAAUGACUGAAGGAGCUGAAUCUGCUCCGUGCCACAUCCCUGUGCCAGGGUGGGAGCCCGAGGCACUCACUAAAUGCCAAGAGUGAGCCCUCCCUGCUGCUGGGCUGCCCAAAAAAGGCUGAGGACAUCCCUUCAGAGGCUGCUUUCAACACCCCCCUGCUGCUCCCUUUCCACAGCCCUCCAGCCAUGAAGGAAAUAUGAAGUGCGAAGUAUUACAAACCAAAGAAAAUCUCAUUUUAAAAGCAAGGCAUUCAGGAAAAGAAUCAAAAAUAAAAAUUGAGGGGAACAGCUAGGAAGAGGGCUUUGAAGGGCUGGCAGGGUGCUGGUUAAUGCAGAGUGUUUCUACCUCUCCAUCAGAUCAGGCAGGGACAGAGCAGCCAGAAGGUCAGGGCUGGGCUGAGGAGGAACAGCCAGAGCACUUGAGACAUGAAAUAAGGCUUGGCAAAACUUUGGGAAAUGGAGUUUUUUGUCAGACUUUGCAAACUAUUUUUGUCACUGCUGUUGCUGGGCAUUUGGAGACAAAAUAAUAGAGGCUGGGGGGAGAGGGAAGGCUGUAAUUUAUGCCAGGGACCUCUGUCCUCUCCAAGGCUUGGAGGAAUGGAUGACCUGCAGAUAUUGCUUGUUGGCUUGUACACUAUGUAACAUACCAUCCACUGCUUCCCAUUUCCUCUCUGCCUUUUGUUUGUUUUCUUUAGACAGGCUCCCUAGGCUAUGUUUUUGCUCUUUUUCCCCUGUUUCAAAGAUUUUCACUCUGUUGGAUCUUUCCUCUCUGUUCUGAAGAGCUGUGUUACACUGAGACUGAGCCAAAUGUGGACAAACCAACUGCAGUGUCUGAAUCAAGCUGGAAAUCCUCCCAUCUGGAUGCUGCCUUCAGGUUUCUACUCCUUAGACCUGGUGCCAGGCACUGGCUUAUCCUGUAUCCAUCAAGGGCCAGAGCAGUUUAUACCAUCAUUCCCAAAUCCACAGCAGCCACAGCAAGGCAGGGUGGUGAUCCUGUGAAGAUUUGGUGUUUGCCAAAGGAGGUGGGCACCAAGAGGAUGUGCUCAGCAAGAGCCUGCUGCCUUCUCCAGCUGCUUCAGCUGAAGCUGCACAAGGGCUGUGGACACUGGCUCAAAAAGUCACCAUGUUUCACACAUCAUGGAAUCAUAGAAUGGUUUGGGUUGGAAGAGACUUCAAAAAGAUCAGCCAGUUCCAACUCCCUGCCAUGGGCAGAGGCAUCUUCCUCUAUCCCAGGUUGCUCCAAGGCCCAUCCAAGCUGGCCUGGAGCACUGCCAGGGAUGUGGCAGCCACAGCUUCUCUGAGCAUGCUCUGCCAGGACCUCACUGCCCUCACAGGGAAGAAUUUCUUCACAAAAUCCAUCUAACCCUGACCUCUGUCAGUUUGAAGCCAUUCCCCCUUGUCCUGUCACCCCCUUCCUUUGUCAAAAGUCCCUCUCCAGCUCUCUUGCAGAUCAACAAGCUUUAUCCUUCCAGGACCAAGUGGGAAUGACUUCACCUGGUAGCAUUUCUACUUCAUUUUCCCUUUAUGUUUGAGGGCACUGAUUAGGAGCAGCAGUGCUGAACAGGGAGGCCCCAAGAUCCUGCAGAGCUUGGGUUAAAAAUAAGGCAAACCAAGAGCUGCAAUAU